CCCCAUUGAAAUCCAUCCAAACCACAAUUUAUGAAUCCCCCUGAGAAAAAAAAGACAUCCAUCUGAUAAACUAUCAAAAAUUUGCUGGUGUUUGUCCUUAGUCCUGUUCUCAUCCUUUCCUCUAUAGGGUCCUUCCUAUGGGUAUACAUGGCCUCUGUUUUCAUAUAUUUUGUCUUUUUUAUUCUCCUAUUUCCAUGUACGGAAUCAAAAUGAGGUUCAAAUUCAUCCAAGAAGAUAGUUAUUAUAUAUAUAUGUAUCAACCAUCC
rnacentral:lncRNA from 1 species